CCCUUAGAUGUCCUGGGCUGCACGCGCGCUACACUGAUGCAUUCAACGAGUCUAAAACCUGCUCUGAUAGGGGUGGGUAAUCUUUUGAAUGUGCAUCGUGAUUGGGAUAGAUGAUUGCAAUUUUUCAUCUUCAACGAGGAAUGCCUAGUAAACGCAAGUCAUCAGCUUGCAUUGAUUACGUCCCUGCCCUUUGUACACACCGCCCGUCGCUCCUACCGAUUGAAUGAUCCGAUGAAUAUCAUGGAUUGAGGAUGCAAGUAGGUUAGCCUAUCUUCAUCUUCGAGAAGUGAAGUAAAUCUUAUCAUUUAGAGGAAGGAGAAGUCGUAACA
rnacentral:rRNA from 1 species